rnacentral:rRNA from 1 species
UACGAAGGGGGCUAGCGUUGUUCGGAAUCACUGGGCGUAAAGCGCACGUAGGCGGAUCUUUAAGUCAGGGGUGAAAUCCCGAGGCUCAACCUCGGAACUGCCUUUGAUACUGGGGAUCUCGAGUCCGGGAGAGGUGAGUGGAACUGCGAGUGUAGAGGUGAAAUUCGUAGAUAUUCGCAAAGAACACCAGUGGCGAAGGCGGCUCACUGGCCCGGAACUGACACUGAGGUGCGAAAGCGUGGGGAGCAAACAGG